CGCGCCAACCGCGAUAGCGAGCUAAUGAGCCACAGCGAAACCGCUAUACGUUUUCUGCCAGAACCGACUUAUGUAUGCGGCGUACUUUAGGCACCACGAUGGAUUGGCACACCAUCGAGAUAAAGACGGAAACCGCGAAAGUGAUCCUCCAGUUUUAUCUUUUUUAAUUACGAGUGGCCAAUGGGUAGGAGCGAACAAGAGGACCAGAGACCGGGCAGUUCGUUUUCUCGGUUUUUAUCCAUAAUGGCUUAACAGCCAAACCUGCUAUUAACUGAGAGACUGGUGUCAGUGAAGGAUGCGAGCGAGGAAGAAAGUAGAAUGUUGCAAAGUAGGGAGCCGAACGAUUAAAGAAAGGGAAGGAGAGGCAGGGCGCGUGCCGUGCUUAUUAACUUUUUUCCUUUCUGACGUAUAUAUUGGGUCUUUUUAUUCGUUUGUCUCCUUUUAUCAACGCUUUCGCAACGCUUUUUCGAAAGGAGAGAAGACAAGUUGGGUAAAUUCGUUUUCUUGCAGGUCGACGCAUCCGACCGUUGGAAUUCUUGUUACAAGGACGUUUAAUGAAAAUUUAUAUUAUCUUAUAAAACGUAUGUGUAGCAGUUGAAACGACUAAAUGGUUUUGUUCGUUCAACCACGAACGUUCAGCAAACUUAAUAAGAGAGAAGAGAAACGCCGAAGGGAGUUCAGAACGGGCAUCGGCCUCGUAGAGGGUUCCUCUUCUUCUCCUUCGAGGGAAUUUCUUUGAGCAGACGGAUUCGAGACGACCCCCGUGCUACGAAGAACGAACCGCUACUUCCAGUAGUUUCCUCCUCUUUUUCUGCCAGCCUAUCUUCUCUUUUUCCCUCGCUCUGUCGUUUCAUUUUCUACCCUCAACGGCUCGUGCAGGAUUUCUUUCAUAGCGAAGUAGAAAUCAUUGGGUUCCUUUUUCCUUCAACCCGGCCUUAUCCCCUCCCCCCUCCUUUCUCUUUUCGUUUCUAUCACCCUUCGUCCCCCUCUCUGGUUCCAUAACUUGAAAGAGUAUUCUUCCAUGGUUUUUCCAUAGAAGAACGUCGAUCUAUUCCGCCUCGUGUCAGAUAUGGAGAUUUAUUUUCACGAUUGGGACGUCUUUCUCUUUCAGUUUCCCUGGUUCUUGGUCGCUCGUCGGAUAGUGAGGGACGUGAGAUUUUAUUGUUCAGAUUCGAUCGUGUCAUGCCGAUAUCCAUUUCUUACGGGAAAUCUCCUACCUUUCGUCGAAUUUUGACAGCGAGAUUUCGCUUUCUUUCAUUCGGGUGCUUAGUAUACAAUCUUUCUGAUACGAAUAUUUCCAGGACUGUUUGCACCCAAUAUCUUUGCGCUUUGCAUGUAUUUACAGAUAUAUAGCACAAGUGACGGAUGACAGUGGGAAGGCAAACAGAAGGAUAAGAGCAAUUAAUGAAACUUGACAGUGUUUAAUAAAGUUCAUUAUUGUGUAAUGGUUUCUAUUUGGUAACUUAUUAGCUCUAAUUUAUGAGCAAAUUUUGUAUUGUCUAUUUUAAACAUAUACUCGUGUUUAACCCUUUGAACUUUAUAGAGCAGCUUACGAUGCAAUACGGAGAAUCUUGCUAAUUUUUAUCGCGACUAACACAAAACAAGAGACUUAAAUAGUUGUUUCAAAAUACCUAUAAAAAUUCUUUCUUUUUAUUUUUAUUAAAAAUUACUCUUUUUUUAUCGUGUAUUACAUUAUUAAAAAUGAAAAAUAAUAGGAAAAUAAACAUGAUAUUUGCCGAUGGAAUAAAUUAAUUUAUCUAAAACUGCGAUAAUUCUCGAAUGAUUUCACGGCAUGUACAUAACCUACUUUAACACUUUUUGAUAAAAGUUGGGAAAUUACAUGUAUCAAUUAACGUAACCAAACGUAUCAGGUUUAGAAUAAAGUUACAAUGUAUUUUUUAUAUGCGUCGACGCAUGAAAAUACAUAAAAUUAAUUCCGGAGUAUACUUCAUUUUAUAUUAUUUUCCUUUGCUUUGUGACAUUUUUCUUAUCUUUAAUCAUUUUAAAAACAGAACUUGCCUCUGUUGUGGAAGAUUUUCUAUAAACAGCGUGUUACUGAAUCUAAUUAAUUUGAGCAAUAAAGAAAUAAGUAACAAUGACAGAAAAAUCGUACAGUUACUGUAAAAUAAAACCACAUUUGAUUAUAUAUUCUUAUUUUUUUUAUACCUUGUACAAAUUAAUAUCUUAUAUCGUAUUAUUACAUUUCACUUAUUUAUCUAUUACGGACCUACUUCAAGAUAAUUGUGGGUUCAAUACAUUUUGACAGAAAUAACAUCCGCCACCAAUUAGUAUAUCUUUCACUCGAAUAUAGGUCAUCGAAAGGGAAUUAAAAUACUGAACUUAAAGAUAGAUGUAAUAAAUAUGGUGAACGGUCAUUGCUAUUAUUUUUGGUGAUACGAUCAACAUAACAUUCGGUUGAAGCAGACCGCAGGCCCUUUUCCCAUAUCCACCACGAAAACCGUGAAUUAUGUAUGCGUGCGCACGUUCAAACGGCCGCCUGCAUAUAGUUAUUUAAUAUUUCCAUUAAUUCAGUCCUGACACAGUCCAGCACAUGUGUAUUCUUUUUCUGAUAUGUUUAUGAUUUUACAUUUUCUAUUUUACAUUUUAAAAUGCAAUUCGUAAAUCUUACAAAGUAUCUAACUCAUAACGGGUAUUAAUAUUCAAUGUACACAAUGUUUUUAUUGAGUUCAGAACAUUAUAAAUGUGCUAAAUCUAAUUUAGGGAUAUAAUAAAUUUAAUUUAUUGGAUAUUUGUGUGAUAACUAAUAAAGAAGCAAUAAUUUAAAGCACAAUUUCGUUCGCCAACUAAAGUGAUAAAUUAUCGAUAUAUCGUAGUUUGACAUUUGUAAAACAUUAAAGGCGCUAUACUUUUCUGUCAUUUUUGUCUCAAUUGUAUUUUUCUAACGUUAAAGAAUAGGACGAGUUUAAAUAAAGUAUGAAAAAAUUGUUAUUAGUGUCUAUGAUCCACGUUUCAAUUUUAUGUUAGACAUAGAUCUCCUUGGGAUAUUAAAAGCUUUAUUUGUUUAUGAAAAUAAAAGUAAAAUUGGAACAUAUAAAAUCGAAAGUCACAACAAGACUAAGUAAAGAAUUAGCAUAGGUACUUUCUAGUGUUAUAAUAUAAAAUUAAUAAAAUAUAAUAUUUUACAUGUACUAAUAAAUUUAUCGUUACCAGACUUUAUAAUUCUUGUAAAAUAAACCGUUUGAUAUUUACUAAAUUAGAAAAAUUGAAAUUUCGUGGAUUCUAUUUUGCAUGAAAAUGCAUAUUAUUCAAUGAAUGAAACUUAUGGCAAUUACAAGUCUCGACUCAAUAUUUAAUCCUAAUGUCAAUGUUAUACAUGGGCAUAUAUGUACACAUUAGAUAAAUUGAUACAAUCUGUUACAUAUUAAAUGAAAAAUCAAAUAACACAGUGAAUCUUUACUUUGAUAUUUCUCCCUUGAAAAAUUUGUCAUUUUCAACUUGUAAACAUUUUCUGAUUAUUAAUUUGAUAAACGAAUAAAAUUGAUGUUUCUCCGACUUCGUGGUUACAUUCGAUAUGAAAUAUUAAACUAAGAUUAUACAAAAAGUAAAAACACGUCUCACAACGAAAUGUAAGUACGUUACUCUACGAACGGAAAAUAACUCAUCGCGACAGGAUAUUUCAUACUGGAAAGCAAGAGAUACUGGAAAUACAUCAUUUUGUAUACACUUCACCUAUACUUAUACAUACUCUGUUGCACGUAAAUAGCAUAUGUACCUACGUGUACAGACGGUUGUACUAUUGAACAAACCAUCAAGUCUGGACGAAAAUAAAAAAGGAACAAGAAAUCCUUUCAGUCGUAUCGGCGCAUAAAAUGAUAAAUUAGAUAUGCAUACGCGACUAAUGCAUACGCACGCAAUAUGCAGGCAUAUCUGGGCGAACCGGCAUGGUAUCGGCAAGGGCUAAUCCCAAUUUGCAUCCCCGAACUUCGACUUGAUCCAGAAACCUGACUGCUCCCCUGAUUUUCGGCAUUCAGGUGGCAUAUGUCGCCCCUACCAGAACUUACGGCCGAAACGUAUGCCGAUACGAGAACCGUGAUCCGGCAUAACUGCACUGAUCUCAUGUGGUGACACAGUGAUCCUCAAUCGAAUUAACUGCGUUUUAUUUUUCGUCGAUAUAUUUUUUUUAUUAAAUGACGGUAACAUCAAGAUACUUUUACACAAAUUUUAAGAACGGGAGCAACAACAAAAUGUCUAACUUUGCACUUCAUUUCAAUUUCAAUUAUAGCUUUUAAUUAUUUAUCGAAACGUGUUUAAGACGAUUCUUCGCGUUUUAUAAAUUUUUCAUCUGCUACGAAUGCAAUUUCGUCGCGUGUUUCCGUAUAAAGUUGUUAGUUUACGAGCGUCUGACAUGCACGAUUCCACCCAAAGGAGAAUAACGCGUAGUCAAUCAAAAAGUUCGAUGCGGCAUAAAGAAACUGCUAUAUUCAAUUUACAUAAAAAGGCGGUUCUCAGCUAAAUCUACGGGAUCAGGGGUUAUAAUUCAGCUACGGUGAACAAUGCCAAGCACGAACUGUAUCGCUAAUGACGGAGGAACGUUCGCAGGGGCAACGAUCAGAUUUCGUCGUGCAAAAAUCAUUCCGCCUUGAAUGGAGUAUCAUUAGGCAAUCACGUAAUGCCAGGAUUUAAAAAAUCACAGACAUUUCUCUAACCGUUAAUUGCUUGAAAACCACUGGCCUCGUGCGAACACGCAUGUGCAGGCACUCGCCGAGAUAAAUGGAGGGUUGCGUGGCACCCCUGACGCACGAGCGUGCUAAACAGAGGAGGACAGACGCGGGGAAAGAAAGAAAUAUGAAGUGGAAUAGAGAGAGCGAGAGUAAGAAAGAGAGUAAGUUGGUGGAAAAGGGGAGAUAGAGCAAAAGAGUAAGGAGAACGGCGCUGGUGCGAACGCACGGGGUCGAAGACACAAAAGAAUAACGUCGCAUGCCACGGGGCUGAAUCCACCCCUAAAAUUCACUCUCCUGCGCUUCUCUCACGUGUGCAAGGUUGCCUUAACAUUGCAAUGCACGAUUCUAGUCAGCGACUGCAAGUAGACAUGCAGCGGAAAGAAAAGAAAGGAACUCGUUUACAGACAACUUAUUGAUUUUUCAUAUCGGCAAAAUUGUUGGUGCGUUGGAAGUUUAAAUUCCAUUCGUCAAAGAUACGUUCAAUAUGUACUGACUUCGAGGUGUAUCGAUAUCAUUUGAAAUAGAUACAAUGUUUGUUACAUUAGGAAAAUGUUAUUGAAUGUACGUGACAAUCAAAUAUGUUGUUAACUUCAUUAUCAGCUUGUUAAUAAUAUAUAAUUUGACUACAAAGCUACAAUUUUUCUACAAAAGGAUCUAUUGCGCUAUGAAUUACUGCAUCCUAGAAAUAGUGCAAUUAAAAAAGAAGUAGAAUCUAUUAAAUUAUUUAUUGUCUACUUUCAAUUGCUGUGCAAAUAUCGCUAUGUCUAUCAAGUACUGAAGUAUUUCUUGAUAUUCUUCAACAAAAAUAUACAAUACAAAAAUAAAAAGAAGAAAGAUGAAUCUACUAUAAGUAUACAUUACAAAUACGUAUAAAUGUCCGCGAGAUUAGUGCAACAAUCUCCAAACAUUAUAAAAAUUUCUGAUAAAAAUAAACCAUUUUCUAAUUGGGUUUCGUCAUAGCGACACUUAAUUUCCGUAGAAAGACGAAAGUUAACUAAAAUGAUUGGAAUGGUCAACGAUAUGAUAAUGUUAAUCACCGCAUCGCCGGAAAUCCACGUAGCAUCAGAGAUGCGGCAAUAUCCGAAGAUAUAUAUAAAAAGCGAGACUCUACAACUCUACAAGUGGUUGUCAGCGAAGGAGAGAACCACUGUGCACGUGGCUGAUGGGUGCACAGGGUGGUUGGAUGAGUCUUGGGAUAUUUUUGGGGUGGGCAACAGGCAAGAGCACUCUACGUAGAGGGUGCCCCGGGCUUUUUUGGAUCGGGUCGCUGCGCGUACGAUUGAACGAAGGGAGACAGGAGGAGGGAAGCAGAGAAAGAAAGAGCGCGGCAAAGAGAAAUAAGAGAGAAGGAAAGGCCAAAAUCGAAUGUGGCCAGGUUUGGUGAAAGAGAGGGGGGGAAUGGAAGAGGGCAGAAACCAUCUGCCCGCAUAUGUUAUGCUCCAUGGAUAUUGGACGCAAACCAUAAGAAAGAACCGUUCAUUGGAAACCAGGAACCGACUAUCUGUCCGGCUAGCAGAGGAAGUCGGAAGCCGCGAACUCCCCCCCCCCCCUUCACGGACACUAGGAAACGGGUGUUUUCUUAAUUAAGGAACGUGGUUCGAAGAAAAAUUGGGGAUUUUACACGCCUUCAGGGGAGGCUGGUUCCGUUCAGGUUUCUGUGAUUUUUAGUUCACGCUCACUCAGAUUUCACAUAAUACCGGAACAAGAUUAUAUCAUUAUAUUGAUCAUAAUGUGAAACAGAAGGCGUUUAAACAUUAAAAUAGAAAGGGAAAAGGAUAGUAACUUCCAAUUCUUUCUGAAUUACAUAAAAAAGCCGCGAACUAUGUUAAUUAUUUUGGAUUGAUUCGGUCAUGCGCUAAUAAAUGAAUUAUAUAAAUCGUGUGUCAAGUAACAAAAUCUGUUACGACAAGAAACGCGAUUAUUUAAUUAUUUAAUUCUUUUGGCCGAUUGCAUUUUCGAUAGAAUGUCGAUUCGAUUGUUGCUCGGUAUUGGUUAAUUUCGGUGUAUCCAGGUGCAAGUAACUCUCACCUGCAUCGCGCUGAGGUACCUGCAAGUCACCGGCUAUGAAAGUGCACAUCGCUAUCGACGAUGCUGAUGAGUAAACCGCCUUCAAAUCAGUGCAAAAUAAAUCGAACGUUAAUGAGUAUUGCGUAAAGUGGAACAUAUUUAUAGCCGGUUCUUUCAUUGUUUGCGUACGAUGCUUUAAGGCUUGUUUUUUUUUUUACGGGAUUACAUUUUUUAACUCGCACACUAAUUUAAAAAUUUUACUUGUAAGUAAAUUCUCUUUUGUAAUUAAUACAUUGUUAUUAGUUAAACACCAAUAAUAUAAAAUAAAUAUUUUAAUGUAAGCGUGACGUAAUAAUUUAUUUGUUUUUCGUUUAUUGCAUCUAGGUAUUUAAGAUAAAGAAAUGUAUAUAAAUGUAACCCUAAAUUUAAAAAAUAUCUACGAUGUAUAAACAUCGUUUAGAGAAGGAAAGACAUAUGUAGUAAUAUUUCUAUAUUAGACGUAUUUUCUAUCUAUGAGAUUCGCAGCUAUUUUAUUCGGUCCAAUUCAACACCGUUCGUACAACCAAUCCAAACUGAAGUGU